rnacentral:rRNA from 1 species
GUAGGGAAUAUUGGGCAAUGGAGGCAACUCUGACCCAGCCAUGCCGCGUGCAGGAUGACGGCCCUCUGGGUUGUAAACUGCUUUUAUACGGGAAGAAAAAAUACUACGUGUAGUAUACUGACGGUACCGUAAGAAUAAGGAUCGGCUAACUCCGUGCCAGCAGCCGCGGUAAUACGGAGGAUCCAAGCGUUGUCCGGAUUUAUUGGGUUUCAAGGGUGCGUAGGCGGAUCUUUAAGUCAGUGGUGAAAGCCUGCAGCUUAACUGUAGAAUUGCCAUUGAAACUGAAGAUCUUGAAUGUGGUUAAAGUAGGCGGAAUGUAUCAUGUAGCGGUGAAAUGCUUAGAUAUGAUACAGAACACCGAUAGCGAAGGCAGCUUGCUGAACCAUUAUUGACGCUGAGGCACGAAAGCGUGGGGAGCGAACAGGAUUAGAAACCCUGGUAGUCC